CACAGAGGUGGUGCUGGAGGUGCUGGAGAGGUAUUACUACAGCCUUUAUGAGUGCUUGGGGGUGCAUAACUGUAUAUAAUGCGUGGAUAAUAAAACCUACACCCUAUUCUGUUCUUAUUUCCCUCACAAAGCUCUUCCUGCGGCUGCAGAAUUAACUUCUCUUAGAUCCUCAUCCUUCCUGCAAAACUCUUCUCCUCACCCAUGAAAUCUGUCCUACGUGGGAUACGUAUUUUAAUACACUUGUUGAAAAGUUAGCAGGGCUGUGCAAAAGGAAUAGCUGCAAAAGGGCAAGGAAUUACCCUUCAGAUUGCUGAGACCACCCUUUGAAACCAGUGUGGGUGCCUUUGUGGAGUAGGGCAACUUUUCCCAGAGCUGCUUCUGACAAUCCCAUCCUGAGAGCACUGUUACUCAUGUCAGCAUCUGACUGUCUUCCAAUAAUUGUGUCAAACAGUGGUAAUAGACAACAGCUUAACAAGAAUUCUCUUUUGUGGAGAAAGAUCUGCUGGUUUCAAAGGCAUAGAUGAGAUAUUUGGGAGCAGCCCUGGCACCCCUCCAGCAGCUCACAGAUUCUCUCCUGCGCCUGGAGGGCUUUGAACUCCUUAAUGCUACACAAAAGUGGGUGAGACACAGGGAAUGGCAUCACUGGGGGUGCUCACAGUGUAAUGUGCUCUUCUGUGUGUUGCCAGGAGAAGAAGGAGGGAAGGAGCAGGGCUGGUGGGACUCUGGCCUGGUAGCACUUGAGAGUAUUUGUACUUCCAUCUGUCAUCUGGCCUGGCUCUCCGCCUGGGGAAAUGAACUCAGAGCUUUUCCCUAAUAAAUACACAACCAAUCCAAGAGCAGCAUCAAUUACUGACGGACUCAUCAAGGGCAUUAGCAAAUGUGAUUGCACUCAGAAUUGAUUGUCCUCACUGAGAUAACAAUCCAGCCAGACCAUCCAAGGGAAGUCAGCACUGCCUAUUUAUAGAGAAUGAAAAAUUUCAGCAGGCCUAGACUGGGAACUUUGAAUAUAUGACUUAAAUGUAGCAGCUCAAAGGUUAUUCUUGGUCUGGGAAAGCCCAGAUAUCUAUGCUUUCUCUGUAUCAACAUUUUUCCAGGCACAAGGGCACUAACCAGAUCUCCAGGACUUCUACAUAAGUCACAGCUGGGGUGGAGCAGAAUGGUCUGUGAGUAUCUGGAAAUCCUGGAGGAAUGCCCACAGUGCUUGUGCAGAUCAAGAGCAGCAUUUCUGCAAGGGGAGAUGAGCUUGCUGUGCUCACUGUACUCACCCUGGAUGCGCUAUGCAGAUCAAACAUGCUGACUCCAUCUGGAAUCCCGGUGGGAAUUCAUUACUGACCUCACUGUGUCAUCCCUUUGGUUACAGAGAUCCAAGGCAUGGACAUCUGGUUUCCAUGCUUCAGCCAAGUGGCAUGUGGGAACUUCCCUGUUCAAAGAACAAAAGGAUUUAGUUAAAAUACCAAGAACACCUUACCACAAGCUGGAAUUCCUGUCAACUGCUCUUACUGCACAUUGCUGGCCCCAGAUCUGUAGGAAUAUAAGAGACUGAGGCCAAAUCCUGAUGGCCUUUGUCAUGGCUCAGAGUGAAGCAGAGCCCCUAUGUCUCUUGAGCAUGCACAUUUCUGACAGAUGUUAAAGAAACUUGGAAUCCAAAUGGGAUUGAGCCCACAUCUAUCUGAAAAUUGUAUUCAUUACCUGAAGUUAUUUUUUUAAAUGCCCUAGAUUUUGUAGACUAAAACAAUGACUUCAUGGUAAAGCUGCAUUCCAUUCCUGCAUGAAAUGUUACAGGAUGCCAUUUUUGUAAUUUCCUCCUCACUUGAUCAUGCUAACAUGGUCCCCUAGGCCUGGAAAACCAGAGAACAUGUGCCAAGUGGAGGGGAUGGAAAAGUGAGAGUCACCAGUAAUACAAAACACAGGGCAGGAAGCAGUGUUUGUGAGUGUGACAGGGAACAUUUUGUCUUCUCCUUCAUCAGUCAUCACAGCGGGAAAGAGAGAAUACUUUUUGAAAAGUCUGAAAGCCACUCUUAGAGCUGCUCUGAGCCAGCUCCCAAGUGGAGCUUUGCUCACCAUGUAAAUCCCUUCCUCUCUAAAGCUUACAAUACAAUAGCAUUGAUAACAGAAAAAUAUGUACCUCCACCUACCCUCAGUCAUUGAGAGAUGGUAAAGACAGCAAGCAGAAAGCAUGGCAAUGUUGUUUGCAUUUAGGUUUAACCCUUCCACUCAUUUCUGCUCUGACUGCACUGACUGAUGGCAGCAUCUGUUCUUUGGAAUGAAGCUGCCCAUAUUCAAGGAAGGGAGAACUAAACUAAAGGCCGAGGGACACAGUAGUGCAAGAUGUUGACUACCAUUUUAUUUCAUCUGUUUUCAGAGGUAAUAUGCUCAAGGAAAAUGCAGCUGGUUCCUUUCUAUGAGGGAAUUUGUGCAUGGUUCUAGCACUGCCCAGAAGGAAGGGAGCAGUUCCUGUACUGCAGACUACAGGUGUAAUGUACAUGCGUUUCUGAGCAGCUAACUGGAAAAAUGUUUGGGUCUGACAAACUUUUUCUGCAUAACUGUUUUUACCAACCUGGGUCACAAACAGAGCUGUUAGCUGCUGGCAUUUUGUGGUGCUGCAAAGAUCCUUUGGUGAAUGCAGACGUAACUGCCAUGGAACAAUUUUAUCAGAGCUGUUAGAAACGCCGUCUUUUAUGAUAUGUGUGAUUGCAUUAAGCAGUAAAAUUGCAUCCUCAAUUUUCAAAAAAUUACUCUUGCUGAAAGAUGCACCACAGACAAUGAAGCCGGAGAGACCGCAGUUCUGCGCUGUGUACAGGACAGCAAAGAAUCAAAAGGCAAAUUCUUUCUGUACAGCACCACAAAGGCAUGUCUAUAAUACAGAGACAGCCGGCUAUCCUGGCUGCUGGCCAAGGUCUCCAAAACCAUCUUAUAAUUCUAACUGGCCACAUAAAGGCAGUGACACAUCCAGGUGUCCUGAGAGGUUCACUGAGAACGAGGUGCCCCCGGUCCACAAACAGAUUAAGAUCUUCAUAACUGUUCAGUUGAGCUCUCCCUGAUUCA
rnacentral:lncRNA from 1 species